UUUCUUAUCUAAUCUAUUUUUAAAUUUGGAGAUAGAUGGCGCAGCAUAGUUAUGUGUGUGUUAUUUAUGGAAAAGUUCGUUAGAAAUUGAUAGUUCUAUUAUCUUUUUUAAAUGCUACAUUUAAUAGUAUUCCUUCCCGAGUUAAAAAUUUGUUGUUUAUUCCUAUCUAACUUCCAACCAAUUGCUUACUUCACAAAUUAUUUCUUCUUUCAAUUUCUUACUUGAUAUAAUUCAUCAACAAAAAAUAGUUUUGAAAAAUGGAACAUGUCUCUUAGAAUUUCUAUAUUCAAACUACCGAGAAUUGCCAAGCACGCACAUGUAGGAAGUAACAAGAUUCUUUCGUAGGCGAGUUUCGCUUGGCAAAGUAUAGAUAAUCAAGGGAAUAGAUAUCUAUCUACCUGAAAAAUUAGAAAUAUAAAGAGAAAAGAUAAAUGAAGAAAAAAAAAA